AUACGAAGGACCCGAGCGUUAUCCGGAUUCAUUGGGUUUAAAGGGUGCGUAGGCGGAAUGAUAAGUCAGUGGUGAAAUCCUGCAGCUUAACUGCAGAACUGCCAUUGAUACUGUCGUUCUUGAAUGCAACUGAUGUGGGCGGAAUGUGCCAUGUAGUGGUGAAAUACUUAGAUAUGGCACAGAACACCGAUUGCGAAGGCAGCUCACAAAAUUGUUAUUGACGCUGAUGCACGAAAGCGUGGGGAUCAAACAGGAUUAGAUACCCUGGUAGUCCACGCCCUAAACGAUGAUCACUCGAUGUUGGCGAUACACUGUCAGCGUCCAAGCAAAAGCGUUAAGUGAUCCACCUGGGGAGUACGAUCGCAAGAUUGAA
rnacentral:rRNA from 1 species